rnacentral:rRNA from 1 species
AGCGAACGCUGGCGGCAGGCCUAAUACAUGCAAGUCGAGCGGGUCCUUCGGGAUUAGCGGCGGACGGGUGAGUAACGCGUGGAACGUGCCCUUUGGUACGGAACAACUGAGGGAAACUUCAGCUAAUACCGUAUGUGCCCUUCGGGGAAAGAUUUAUCGCCAUUGGAGCGGCCCGCGUUGGAUUAGGUAGUUGGUGAGGUAAAGGCUCACCAAGCCUACGAUCCAUAGCUGGUCUGAGAGGAUGACCAGCCACACUGGGACUGAGACACGGCCCAGACUCCUACGGGAGGCAGCAGUAGGGAAUCUUGCGCAAUGGGCGAAAGCCUGACGCAGCCAUG